GGCGGAGAUGCGCUCGUCUUUGGGGGGAGGAAAAACGCACGCGCACACACACAAACCAGCACGACCAGGAAGUCAGAUAUCCACGGAUGCAGCUAAAUAAGCUACGGUCGCCUCAUCCUGCAGCAGAGGGGAGGGGAGGCUGUGCACCAGGAAGGAGUCUUGUUGUCUGGAAACAGAUGCUUCACAUUUGCUGACUGGGGAAAUGUCCGCAAGUCCUCCAGGAACCGUCUCACUUGCUAACCGAGGCUACGUGAACGUGUCGCUAAAGGCUACGCUCCGUCAAAGGCCACACUUUGCCCACUCCUGCUCUCCAGUCCGCAUCUUGUCGUCUGGCUGUUGUUGGGAGACAAUGGCUGCACUUUGCCCCGAGGUCAUGGCAGAGUUUGCCCCCUCCCCCUCCACUUCCCAGACGUGCGUCACCUGCUCCCAACGCUCCUUUCAACGCAGCCAUUAUCCCCCACAAGUGUCACCAACGUAGUUUUGUUUAAACCACAAAAUCAAGCAAAAGGCUUACGGCCUUUUUAACUGCGUCAUCUCAUCUCAUGUGUAGGUGGGGGGAGGUGGAGGUAUAGAGACCCCCAUCAACCACCCACCCCAACUGGAACACCUGUUGGAGACACCAAAUCCCUUCUUUGUCUCUGCAGACCCCUCUCAGUUGGAUUACCAUGACA